CCUACGUGUGGCAGCAGUGGGGAAUAUUGGACAAUGGGCGAAAGCCUGAUCCAGCCAUGCCGCGUGUGUGAAGACGGCCUUCGGGUUGUAAAGCACUUUCAGUGGGGAAGAAAGCCUUGGGGCUAAUACCCUCGAGGAAGGACAUCACCCACAGAAGAAGCACCGGCUAACUCCGUGCCAGCAGCCGCGGUAAUACGGAGGGUGCGUGCGUUAAUCGGAAUUACUGGGCGUAAAGCGCGCGUAGGCGGUCUGAUAAGCCGGUUGUGAAAGCCCCGGGCUCAACCUGGGAACGGCAUCCGGAACUGUCAGGCUAGAGUGCAGGAGAGGAAGGUAGAAUUCCCGGUGUAGCGGUGAAAUGCGUAGAGAUCGGGAGGAAUCCCAGUGGCGAAGGCGGCCUUCUGGACUGACACUGACGCUGAGGUGCGAAAGCGUGGGUAGCAAACAGGAUUAGAUACCCCGGUAGUC
rnacentral:rRNA from 1 species